rnacentral:rRNA from 1 species
UCUCGUACGGGAUGCAGCAGUGGGGAAUAUUGCACAAUGGGCGAAAGCCUGAUGCAGCGACGCCGCGUGAGCGAAGAAGUAUUUCGGUAUGUAAAGCUCUAUCAGCAGGGAAGAUAAUGACGGUACCUGACUAAGAAGCCACCGGCUAAAUACGUGCCAGCAGCCGCGGU